GAUGAACGCUGGCGGCGUGCCUAAUACAUGCAAGUCGAGCGAACGGACGAGAAGCUUGCUUCUCUGAUGUUAGCGGCGGACGGGUGAGUAACACGUGGAUAACCUACCUAUAAGACUGGGAUAACUUCGGGAAACCGGAGCUAAUACCGGAUGAUAUUUUGAACCGCAUGGUUCAAAAGUGAAAGACGGUCUUGCUGUCACUUAUAGAUGGAUCCGCGCUGCAUUAGCUAGUUGGUAAGGUAACGGCUUACCAAGGCAACGAUGCAUAGCCGACCUGAGAGGGUGAUCGGCCACACAGGAACUGAGACACGGUCCAGACUCCUACGGGAGGCAGCAGUAGGGAAUCUUCCGCAAUGGGCGAAAGCCUGACGGAGCAACGCCGAGUGAGUGAUGAAGGUCUUCGGAUCGUAAAACUCUGUUAUGAGGGAAGAACAUAUGUGUAAGUAACUGUGCACAUCUUGACGGUACCUAAUCAGAAAGCCACGGCUAACUACGUG
rnacentral:rRNA from 1 species